GGCUGCGGCCCCCGAGGGAAGGGGCAGGAGGCCGCUGCGGGCAGUCCGCGCCGUCGGUGCAGCUGCGGUGCUGGUGGCUGGGUCUGGACUUCGCCCCCGCAGCUCUCUCUCCGUGGCUCCUUGGCUUGCCUCAGGGCUCCUCGCUGGCACUCUUGAAGGUUCACCUGGAGUUUCGGUGAAGUCCUCUAUCCUCUUAGGCUCGAACCAGUUAGUAGCAUUUGGUGUGUGGAAGAUUGGGUGGAAAACAAUGUCUUUACAGCUCCUGAGGCUAAUGUUCUCUGCUUGGGAAGAACAAGAAAUAUCAGUGGUCAGAGUAGUGCGGUUGGCAAGGUAGACAACUGCUUCGUUUUAAGAGUUUCCAAUGACUUAAACGUACAAAAAUAUUGAAGGUUAAUUUGUGUUCUCCCCACUUUGUGACUGGCCUGCUGGCAGCCCUGUGCAACGUGAGUGCUUGUUGUCAUGGGUCUGUACUAAAUCACCAGCUAGUUUUGUUGGAAGAAGCAGCAACUCUUUUUCUUGCUACCAGCGAGUACAAAACAAGUCUGGUAACAUAUAUCUGGAGAAUUCCUUAGCUUAUUUCCGAAGUGUUUGGCUCUUUCAUUGUCUACUGAAACGUAUUUGUACAAACGAUAAAAAGAGCUCCAAAGCGGCUAAUCAAAGCUUAUUUUUCCAAGGUGAUCGCUUGCAGUGUUACUCUGGGCUCAAACAGAAUCUCCUGUACCUUUAACCCCUUUAUUUUCAUCUUUCUAAUGCAAAAAAGAAAAGAAGCUCUCAGGAUAAGACAUGUCGUGGAUCAGAGAAGGUGAGCUGACCAUCAUAGAGAGAUUUUGUGCCAACGUUAUUAAGGCAGGUCCCAUGCCCAAGCAUGUUGCCUUCAUCAUGGAUGGCAAUCGCCGUUAUGCCCAGAAGUGUCAUGUGGAGAGACAGCAGGGGCAUUCGCAAGGCUUUGAUAAACUGGCACAGACACUGCGGUGGUGUUUAAAUCUGGGUAUCCAGGAAGUCACUGUUUAUGCAUUUAGUAUUGAGAACUUUAAACGCUCCAAGGAGGAGGUGGAUGGACUAAUGGAUCUGGCAAGACAGAAAUUUAGCCGCCUACUGAAAGAACAGGAGAACUUGAAGAAGCAUGGUGUGUGUAUCCGUGUCCUUGGGGACCUGCCGCUCCUGCCACUGGAUAUUCAGGAGCUGAUUGCCCAAGCUGUGCUAGCAACCAGGAACUACAACAAAUGCUUUCUAAAUGUCUGCUUUGCAUAUACAUCGAGACAUGAAAUCAGCAACGCUGUGAGGGAGAUGGCCUGGGGGGUGGAACAAGGACUGCUUGAACCCAGCGAUGUGUCAGAAUCAUUGCUUGAUAAGUGUCUGUACACGAGCAACUCUCCUGACCCAGACCUCCUGAUACGAACCUCUGGAGAGGUCCGGUUGAGUGACUUCUUACUCUGGCAGACGUCCCAUUCAUGCCUGGUGUUUCAGUCAGUGUUGUGGCCAGAAUAUUCCUUUUGGAACCUGUGUGAGGCUAUCCUUCGGUUCCAGGUGAACUACGGUGCUUUACAGCAGCCUAUGCCAGAUGUGUGGCUUCUCCUGUGCCCCUGUGGCUUGUUACAGCGUCUUAGGAUGUGGACAGACUCCUCUUCUUUCUGGAGAAACUAAAGGUAUCUGAAGUUGCCAAUAUCUCCGUGCUCAUUGCCAUUCCACCAGUUGUAAGUAUCUGUCCCCACUCCUCAGCCGGCAGGACAGAGCAAGUAAGCACUCCUGAUUUGCUACAGGGCAAAAUCAGCCAGUUUAACUCGAUCUAAUUCACUGGUGGUUUAAGCAAGUGCUGAAUUUACUGUGGAGUGGGCAGGGAGAGUCGCACACUUUCCCUCUAGUUCUGCUGUGUGUAGGGUUGCAGCAAGUGGGUUUAGGAUUUCCUUUCUGGGAACUGAGGUGAAGCUGCCUGGGCCGCAAGGCUGUGGACUGCUGUCCUCCUCUGGAUCUUGGUGUGCUUGUUGAGGUUAUUCCCACUGGUGGUUGUCAGUGUUCCUUCCCUUCCAGAGCUGCUGGUGUGAGGUCUUCCUGACCUGGUUCCGCCAAUUUGGUAAUAACUUGCUAAUCUGGCUAUUUUAAGAGGGACAAGUUUGGGAGCUGGAGCUCCCUAAUGAGCAGGUCGAUAGGGAAACCUGGGCAACGGUGGCCUGUGGCACAGGGACGCCAGCACCUGGCUGGAGAAGGAGCUUGGUGUAGUGACUUUUACCUCUUCAACCUUCAGGAACCUUCUUCACCUCAAAGAUUAUAAACUGUGGUGGUUGCAAGUUAAAUUAGUAAGGUCUGCUUUUGCUACAUGGUAGUCCUAGGGGAGGGAAUGCAAAUGUUGGCUGGCAAGCCACCUCCAUGGAGGUGGUCCCUCUGGGUCUUUUGUGGUGCAUGGGCAGAAUUUCGCUCCAUCCGAGGUGGAAGCGUUAUGCCGAACAGGUUGAUUAGCUGUGUAUUUCAAAUAAGCGGAGCUACAGCAAUGGAACGCUGUCAAUUCAGUGGGCUUUCUGUAGCUAAGGAUGUUUCUGCCCUCACUCCCAGCCCAACAAAAGUUAAUUUACAGUGUCAGAGCAUAGACCACUGAGUUGAGCAGGGAGGAAGUGUGCUGAAGAGUGGAACAAGCCCUCAUUAGAAUAUGUGUUUCUGACAUUUUGCUUGUUUGAAAGGCCAGUAUUCCCUUAGUGUGUGCGCAUGUCAGGUUAUAUCACAGUGACCACAGUCUUAUUUCAUUUUAAUGAAGGCUUAGUCUACCUGCAUGCAGAUUAAAUUCCUCUGUUAGAAUCUGUGUCUGCAGGGUAGGAUAUGUGCAAUGAGAAGAAGCCCCAAAGCGUUGCUCUGCAAUACAUUUCAAAUACUUAGGGGUAGACAGAAAGAUAGCAACCACCCUUUCCUUUCUCCUGCCCGUCAUGCUGUGUCUUGAGCUGGUACGUUAUUAGAUCACAGGCAUUUGAGAACACGGAGUCUGCUCUUGCUUUUUUGCUGCAGCCAAUUAGCUCAGUACCUGAUCAUCAGCUCAAAGAAUUGCCCCAUAAAUCGUUGUUCUGAAUCCCCUAAAACCUUUCUACUGCCAUGUGAAUAGGUUCAAAGAUUCUGUGAUGGCACUGGCAAGGAUAGCUUGUGUGCGAGUCUGUGAUUUGAAAGUGCUCUUCUAUGCUGUUUCUCUCCGAUUCAGAUAUCUAAGGCUUUUUUCACCGUCUGUCAUGACCUUUAUCCAUUUUAACUAGGAGUUAAUGCUGUGAGCAGACUUGUAUCUCAAGAAGGUCCUGAAGGAUAUCCCUGUAUUUUUUUCUAACCCAAUCAAGCAGCUACCUCAAAGCGGAGGAGAAGGCCAGAGACUCCUACAUGGAGGAAAGGAGGCGACAACAGAUGGAAAGGGAUCAGGCUUAUGUGACAAAGAAGCUGCAGCAGGAG